ACAAACCGGAGGAAGGUGGGGAUGACGUCAAAUCAUCAUGCCCCUUAUGACCUGGGCUACACACGUGCUACAAUGGGAAGUACAACGAGUCGCUAGACCGCGAGGUCAUGCAAAUCUCUUAAAGCUUCUCUCAGUUCGGAUUGCAGGCUGCAACUCGCCUGCAUGAAGCCGGAAUCGCUAGUAAUCGCGGAUCAGCACGCCGCGGUGAAUACGUUCCCGGGCCUUGUACACACCGCCCGUCACACCACGAGAGUUUGUAACACCCGAAGUCGGUGAGGUAACCUUUUUGGAGCCAGCCGCCUAAGGUGGGAUAGAUGAUUGGGGUGAAGUCGUAACAAGGUAGCCGUAUCGGAAGGUGCGGCUGGAUCACCUCCUUU
rnacentral:rRNA from 1 species